rnacentral:rRNA from 1 species
AUUGAACGCUGGCGGCAGGCUUAACACAUGCAAGUCGAGCGGAGAUGAGGUGCUUGCACCUUAUCUUAGCGGCGGACGGGUGAGUAAUGCUUAGGAAUCUGCCUAUUAGUGGGGGACAACAUUCCGAAAGGAAUGCUAAUACCGCAUACGUCCUACGGGAGAAAGCAGGGGAUCUUCGGACCUUGCGCUAAUAGAUGAGCCUAAGUCGGAUUAGCUAGUUGGUGGGGUAAAGGCCUACCAAGGCGACGAUCUGUAGCGGGUCUGAGAGGAUGAUCCGCCAAACUGGGAAUGAGACACGGCCCAGACUCCUACGGGAGGCAGCAGUGGGGAAUAUUGGACAAUGGGGGGAACCCUGAUCCAGCCAUGCCGCGUGUGUGAAGAAGGCCUUAUGGUUGUAAAGCACUUUAAGCGAGGAGGAGGCUACUGAGACUAAUACUCUUGGAUAGUGGACGUUACUCGCAGAAUAAGCACCGGCUAACUCUGUGCCAGCCGCCGCCGUAAGAC